GGCUGUCCCACUUCCGCUGACGUCGCAGGUCAGAGGUGACCGGCAAGAUGUCGGCUGGCUAGCGCUGUCGGUGCUUGGUGUGAGGAGCAUCUCCGUGACAGAAGCUCGGCGGAGACAGCCGACGGAGCCGAAUCGCGGGAGAGAGUUGGAGGCGUUGGCGGCGGCAGAUCGGGCAGGGCCGGGAGUGGGUGCCGAGGGAGCCCCGGCCGCGGGGUGUGACUGUUGGGUGCGCGGGGGAGCGGGGAGUGUCAGGUGCCGGAGACCGGUAAUGCCCCGCCGCCCCUCGGAAAGCCGGGAAGCCGAGCUCCGCGGGGUCUCUUCAUGCCGCCGACUGGUUUAGAGCCCGCCAGAAUGAACAGGAAGAAAGGAGACAAGGGCUUUGAAAGCCCAAGGCCCUAUAAAUUAACUCAUCAGGUCGUCUGCAUCAACAACAUAAACUUCCAGAGAAAAUCCGUUGUGGGAUUUGUGGAACUGACUAUAUUUCCCACAGUUGCAAACUUAAAUAGAAUCAAGUUGAACAGCAAACAGUGUAGAAUAUACCGAGUAAGGAUCAACGAUUUAGAAGCUGCUUUUAUUUAUAAUGAUCCAACCUUGGAAGUUUGUCACAAUGAAUCAAAACAGAGAAAUCUCAAUUAUUUUUCCAAUGCUUACGCAGCUGCGGUUAGUGCUGUGGAUCCUGAUGCAGGAAAUGGAGAACUUUGCAUUAAGGUUCCAUCAGAAUUAUGGAAGCACGUUGAUGAAUUAAAGGUGCUAAAGAUACACAUCAAUUUUUCUUUGGAUCAGCCAAAAGGAGGUCUUCAUUUUGUGGUACCCAGUGUAGAGGGAAGUAUGGCAGAGAGAGGUGCUCAUGUUUUCUCUUGUGGGUAUCAAAAUUCCACAAGAUUUUGGUUCCCAUGUGUUGAUUCAUACUCUGAAUUAUGUACAUGGAAAUUAGAAUUUACAGUGGAUGCUGCAAUGGUGGCUGUUUCCAAUGGAGAUUUGGUGGAGACAGUGUAUACCCAUGAUAUGAGGAAGAAAACCUUCCAUUACAUGCUUACCAUUCCAACAGCUGCGUCGAAUAUCUCCUUGGCCAUUGGACCUUUUGAAAUACUUGUAGAUCCAUAUAUGCAUGAGGUUACUCAUUUUUGUUUACCUCAGCUUCUUCCAUUGCUUAAACAUACCACGUCGUAUCUUCAUGAAGUUUUUGAAUUUUAUGAAGAAAUUCUUACAUGUCGAUACCCAUAUUCUUGUUUUAAGACUGUAUUCAUCGAUGAGGCUUAUGUUGAAGUGGCUGCUUAUGCUUCCAUGAGCAUUUUUAGCACAAAUCUGUUACACAGUGCCAUGAUUAUAGAUGAGACACCUUUGACUAGAAGGUGUUUAGCCCAGUCCUUGGCCCAGCAGUUUUUUGGAUGUUUCAUAUCCAGAAUGUCUUGGUCUGAUGAAUGGGUAUUGAAGGGAAUUUCAGGCUAUAUUUAUGGUCUCUGGAUGAAAAAAACUUUUGGUGUUAAUGAAUAUCGCCAUUGGAUUAAAGAGGAGCUGGACAAAAUAGUGGCGUAUGAACUAAAAACUGGUGGAGUUUUAUUACAUCCCAUAUUUGGUGGAGGAAAAGAGAAGGAUAAUCCAGCAUCCCAUCUACACUUUUCCAUAAAGCAUCCACAUACGCUUUCCUGGGAAUACUACACUAUGUUUCAGUGUAAAGCUCACCUUGUGAUGAGAUUGAUUGAAAACAGAAUCAGUAUGGAAUUUAUGUUACAAGUUUUCAAUAAACUGCUAAGUUUGGCUAGUACUGCUUCAUCUCAGAAGUUCCAGUCACAUAUGUGGAGUCAGAUGUUGGUUUCCACAUCUGGAUUUUUGAAAUCCAUCUCGAAUGUCUCUGGCAAAGACAUCCAGCCUUUAAUAAAGCAGUGGGUAGACCAGAGCGGAGUGGUAAAAUUUUAUGGAAGUUUUGCCUUUAAUAGAAAACGAAAUGUCUUGGAAUUGGAAAUAAAACAAGAUUAUACAUCUCCUGGAACUCAGAAAUAUGUGGGACCACUUAAAGUGACAGUACAGGAGUUAGAUGGAUCCUUCAAUCAUACAUUGCAAAUUGAAGAAAACAGUCUUAAACAUGAUAUACCCUGCCAUUCCAAAAGCAGAAGGAAUAAGAAGAAAAAAAUUCCACUGAUGAAUGGAGAAGAAGUUGACAUGGAUCUUUCUGCAAUGGAUGCUGAUUCUCCUUUGCUGUGGAUAAGGAUAGACCCAGACAUGUCGGUAUUGAGGAAAGUAGAAUUUGAGCAAGCAGAUUUUAUGUGGCAGUAUCAGCUCCGCUAUGAGAGGGAUGUUGUGGCACAGCAAGAGUCCAUUUUGGCCUUGGAAAAGUUCCCCACUCCAGCAUCUCGGCUUGCCCUAACUGACAUAUUAGAACAGGAGCAGUGUUUCUACCGCGUGAGAAUGUCAGCUUGCUUCUGCCUUGCAAAGAUUGCAAAUUCAAUGGUGAGCACAUGGACAGGACCACCAGCCAUGAAGUCACUCUUCACUAGGAUGUUUUGUUGUAAAACUUGUCCAAACAUUGUGAAAACAAACAACUUUAUGAGCUUUCAAAGUUACUUUCUACAGAAGACUAUGCCAGUUGCGAUGGCUUUAUUGAGAGAUGUUCAUAACCUUUGUCCCAAAGAAGUCUUAACAUUUAUUUUAGACUUAAUCAAGUACAAUGACAACAGAAAAAAUAAGUUUUCAGAUAACUAUUAUCGUGCAGAAAUGAUUGAUGCCCUUGCCAACUCUGUUACGCCUGCAGUCAGUGUGAAUAAUGAAGUUCGAACUUUGGAUAAUUUAAAUCCGGAUGUGCGACUCAUUCUUGAAGAAAUCACUAGGUUUUUGAAUAUGGAAAAACUUCUUCCGAGUUAUAGACACACCAUCACUGUCAGUUGUUUGAGAGCCAUACGAGUGCUUCAGAAGAAUGGCCAUGUGCCAAGUGAUCCAGCUCUUUUUAAAUCUUACGCAGAAUAUGGCCACUUUGUGGACAUCAGGAUAGCAGCUUUGGAAGCAGUUGUUGACUAUACUAAAGUGGACAGGAGUUAUGAAGAAUUGCAAUGGCUACUUAAUAUGAUUCAGAAUGACCCUGUACCCUAUGUAAGACAUAAGAUUCUAAACAUGUUAACUAAGAACCCACCAUUUACUAAGAACAUGGAGUCUCCCUUAUGCAAUGAAGCUUUGGUAGAUCAACUUUGGAAACUUAUGAAUUCUGGUACUUCACAUGACUGGCGGUUACGGUGUGGUGCUGUGGACUUGUACUUCACACUGUUUGGCCUCAGUAGACCUUCCUGCUUACCCUUGCCAGAACUUGGCUUGGUCCUUAAUCUGAAAGAGAAAAAAGCUGUCUUGAAUCCAACCAUAAUUCCAGAGGCCAUAGCAGGCAACCAAGAAGCUGCGGUUAAUCCAAGUAGUCACACACAGCUAGUUGGAUUUCAGAACCCUGAAGAUGAUCACCUUGCCAAGGAAGCAUCAUGUAAUAUAUCAGCUCAUCAGCAGGGAGUGAAGAGGAAGGCUGAUACACCACUGGGGUCCCCACUAGAACCUGGUCAAAUACUGGAGAAGAAUGAGGAUAGCAGUAAAGUCAAACUCAAAAUCAGAUUUUCAAGCUCUCAAGAUGAGGAGGAGAUUGAUAUGGAUACUGUUCAUGAUAGCCAGGCGUUCAUUUCCCAUCAUUUAAACAUGCUUGAAAGGCCGUCAACUCCAGGGCUCUCUAAAUACCGGCCAGCCAGCUCCCGAUCUGCUUUAAUCCCCCAGCACUCAUCAGGUUCUGAUGGCACACCCAUCACAAAACCCCAGUGGAAUAUGGAACUUGCACGAAAGGGAACAGAAAUUGCUGCACUGAAGUCUAAGGAUUUUGUUCUGCCAGUAGAACUACCUGAGUUUUUAAACAAGUAAUCAUGAUAGCUUUGUUUUUAGGAAGAUAACUAUGCACUAGGGCCUCUGAACUUCAACACUGUUGACAUUUUUGGCCAUGAGAAUUCUUUGCUCUAGGAGGCUGUCCUGUGUUUUGAAUGUUUGGCAGCAUCCCUAGCCUCUACGCACAGUCAGGCUAACACUUCCUCCCCCCAUCCCACCCUAAUCGUGACAACAAAAACGUCUCCAGACAUUGUCAAACAACCCCUGGGGAGAAAAGUUGCCCCUGUUUGAGAACCGCUGCUGUGAAGCUAUGUAAAGUGUGGAUUCAAGUGUAAGACACUUCAGGCAAAGAAACCAGUUCAUAGGAGACUAGUACUGUGAUCCAAAUGAGAUGAGGUGGUCUGAAUUAGUACAGUUGCAGGCGGGAUAGAGAGGCAGAUUAAAGAGAUUCUUGUAAGUAAGAAUAAACAAGAUUUGGUAAGCAGCUAGAUCUGGAAGGGAGGGCACCUGAGAUGAUUAAGUUUUUUUCUUACUUGGCUGCAUGUAAAGCAGUGUCAUUAACCUAGAGUAAUAGAGAGAGAGAAUUCUCUGGGUAUGGCCCAAGAAUUGUAGGGUAUGGAGGAAGCAAGAAAUUCCCGUACACUAGAGUCUGAGAACUACUCACUAUUAUAGAUUCCUAGGCUGAUAGAACAUUGGAAAUGGAAAGAACCUUCAAAGACAUUUGAUCCAUUUCUAGGUAAAGAACAAUCACCUUUGGAGAUGAGUAUGCAUCCAGUUGCAGCAGCUCCACUCUCAGUAUUUACUAAAGAAUCUACGUCCUCCAAACACAGCGACCACCAUCACCACC